rnacentral:rRNA from 1 species
CGCUGGCGGCAUGCCUAACACAUGCAAGUCGAACGAGACCUUCGGGUCUAGUGGCGCACGGGUGCGUAACGCGUGGAACCUGCCUUUAGGUUCGGAAUAACUCAGAGAAAUUUGAGCUAAUACCGGAUAAUGUCUUCGGACCAAAGAUUUAUCGCCUCUAGAUGGGCCCGCGUUGGAUUAGCUAGUUGGUGGGGUAAAGGCCUACCAAGGCGACGAUCCAUAGCUGGUCUGAGAGGAUGAUCAGCCACACUGGAACUGAGACACGGUCCAGACUCCUACGGGAGGCAGCAGUGGGAAUUUUGGACAAUGGGGGCAACCCUGAUCCAGCAAUGCCGCGUGAGUGAAGAAGGCCUUCGGGUUGUAAAGCUCUUUUGUCAGGGAAGAAACGGUGAGAGCUAAUAUUUCUUGCUAAUGACGGUACCUGAAGAAUAAGCACCGGCUAACUACGUG